rnacentral:rRNA from 1 species
UGGGAAUAUUGGACAAUGGGCGAAAGCCUGAUCCAGCAAUGCCGCGUGAGUGAUGAAGGCCUUAGGGUUGUAAAGCUCUUUUACCCGGGAUGAUAAUGACAGUACCGGGAGAAUAAGCCCCGGCUAACUCCGUGCCAGCAGCCGCGGUAAUACGGAGGGGGCUAGCGUUAUUCGGAAUUACUGGGCGUAAAGCGCACGUAGGCGGCUUUGUAAGUAAGGGGUGAAAGCCUGGAGCUCAACUCCAGAACUGCCUUUUAGACUGCAUCGCUUGAAUCCGGGAGAGGUGAGUGGAAUUCCGAGUGUAGAGGUGAAAUUCGUAGAUAUUCGGAAGAACACCAGUGGCGAAGGCGGCUCACUGA